rnacentral:rRNA from 1 species
AGAGUUUGAUCAUGGCUCAGAUUGAACGCUGGCGGUAUGCUUAACACAUGCAAGUCGGACGGCAGCAUGGCUUGUAGCAAUACAAGCUGAUGGCGAGUGGCGGACGGGUGAGAAACGCGUAGGAAUCUGCCUUUUAGAGGGGGACAACUAGAGGAAACUCUAGCUAAUACCGCAUAAUGUCGAGAGACCAAAAGCUGGGGUUAAACCUGGCGCUAAGAGAGGAGCCUGCGUCUGAUUAGCUAGUUGGUGGGGUAAAGGCCUACCAAGGCGAUGAUCGGUAGCUGGUCUGAGAGGAUGAUCAGCCACACUGGGACUGAGACACGGCCCAGACUCCUACGGGAGGCAGCAGUGGGGAAUAUUGGACAAUGGGGGCAACCCUGAUCCAGCAAUACCGCGUGUGUGAAGAAGGCCUUCGGGUUGUAAAGCACUUUAGGUUGGGAAGAAGACAUGUAGUUUAAGAGAUGACAUGUUUGACUGUACCGACAGAAUAAGCACCGGCUAACUCUGUGCCAGCAGCCGCGGUAAUACAGAGGGUGCAAGCGUUAAUCGGAGUUACUGGGCGUAAAGGGCGCGUAGGUGGUUGUAUAAGUGAGAUGUGAAAUCCCUGGGCUUAACCUAGGAACUGCAUCUUAUACUGUAUAGCUAGAGUACUGUAGAGGGUAGUGGAAUUUCCGGUGUAGCGGUGAAAUGCGUAGAGAUCGGAAGGAACACCAGUGGCGAAGGCGGCUACCUGGACAGAUACUGACACUGAGGCGCGAAAGCGUGGGGAGCAAACAGGAUUAGAUACCCUAGUAGUCC